GAUACCCUAUUAUUUUAAAUGUAGUUUUUUACCUAGAUUAUUAGUAGUUAUGGUCUUUAAAAUUAAAAAAUUUGGCGGUAUUUUAGUCUGUUCAGAGGAACCUGUUUCUUAAUUGAUAGUCCACGAUGAUUUUUACUUUAGCUUUAAAUUUGUAUAUCGUCGUUUAUAAAAAUUUUAGUAGAAUAAGAAUUUUUUAGUUGUGGGAUUAUUAAUUUAUUUCAGAUCAAGGUGUAGUUUAUGUUAAAGUUGAGAUGGGUUACAUUGUAGUUAUAAUUGGAAUUUUUAUUUAAAAUUUUAAUGAAAUUGGAUUUGAUAGUAAAUUCUUUGUUUUUGGGAUUUGAUUUAGCUCUAAAAUAUGUACACAUCGCC
rnacentral:rRNA from 1 species